rnacentral:tRNA from 1 species
UGCGGGAUAGAGAAGUGGUUUAACUCGUCGGGCUCAUUACCCGAAGAUCGCUGGUUCAAAUCCAGCUCCCGCAACCA